CAUGGAGUUAGCGGAACGAAGAUCUGAGAAAUGGGCUCCUGACGAGUUGGAAGCAAAGGAAACUAUUCUUUCGGAAGACGUUGCUGCUAUCGAAGAGUUUUACUUGUCGCAUGCGUCACUUAACCCUUCUAAUGGAUAAACUUGAGCUUUAAAAUUGUUUAAAAAUUGAAAUCCGAUGUUACAUGUGGCUUGAAAUACGAAUUAUAUUACGAGUACGAACUCGGAACUUCUAGUCAAUUCCUUCACACGUCACUACCUCUCGUGCUCUCGAUCCAGAAUCUUGGAUGCAAAGACUGUCACUAGGUGGCUAAAUAUUUCAGUGUGUAUAGGGAUUAAAGUGUUUAGGGGUUGAACUAUUCGGAAUUUUAGAGGGAUGUUAGGGGUUUGUUUACAUUGUUAUUCAUAGUACUGAGGUAACGUGUACUGGAAUUUAUACUUGGCAAUUCCGUUUGAUUACGUGGCCUGCCGUACAAUUUCCCAUAAUGUCGUCUCUUGCUCUUCCUGUAUUUUGCACGUUUCGUCACAAGAUGAGGUACAUCCACGCCAUUCGACCAAGCUGAACCGAAAGUGAACCAUUUAAAACAACAUGUCGAAGAUCUUGCCUUUCUCCACGUGGUAACUGCCUUUGCAUGAAUUUGCGUCUUUGAGAGGGUCUCUACUAUGGCAAAUGUGAUGAAAAGAGAAAAUCUGAUUGGGUGGCUGUGUUGCAGACUUGCAGCCAGCUGGUGAAAGGGAGUUCUGCAGCUUCUGGAAGCAGUCUACAUCGCUGGUGUCAUCCUGAAGUGGUGAAGUGUUACCAGAAGUGUAACAACAAAAAAUACAUCUUGAAAUGGACAUGGUGAUAAUGUGAUGCAUCAGCAUGCAGUCUAUGCAGGCGGUGUUUUCGAGAAGUGUAUAAGUAAGACUUUGAAGCUUAGCUGCAAGAAUGUUUUCUGAAAUGUCAAAAGUCAACUCUAAACUGACGCAGGAAUUAAGUGACAGAGCCCACAAUUCUUCCCGUCUUUCGUGUUGAUUCCGUUGCCCAUAAUAAUGAUGGAUUACUCACGUUAUGUGCCUGGCAUGUAUAUCAUUCGCUUUCCCCUCCCUGGCCGUGAUCUUGGGAAUUAGGAAGCCAUGGUUGUAGUGCGUGUUUGAUCCAGCGUGACUUUCAUCACCUUCACACAAUUCCAUGGCGUCACGUGAAACAAAAAAAGGAGAAUGAAUAACGAUUCCGGUCUGGUGACGAUAUCGAGAAGUCUGGGUUUCCGUUCAGCCACACAAGAUAUUGCAUAUAUUGAAUUGGGAUCGUUAAAAACAUCACAUGUCGUUGCACCUUAACGACGAUGGGCGUAUUUGGUUGCGCCACGUUGACUUUAAAAGAGGAAGGAAGAGAGUAAGAGCGCGGGGGGUUUGCGACCUCCAGAGGGGAGAGAGAAAAACGUCGGAAUCUUCUUCUUCUUUUUGUAAAAGACUUUGGCAGCGACCUCCUCCUCCUGUAACACAAGACUCUUGUAUACUACUCACAUAUUCAGCAGCCUAGUACGUGUUUUUUGUUUGCCCGGCACUAAUCCAGGUAGUCACCAUCGAGGAUAGGUUUAAAAAGCCUACGACUCUAGUCUGCACGUGUUCAGUUGCCGGCCGAGUGUCGAGAUUUGCACAACGAUCUCAGCAAACUAGUUGGAAGAGACCAGGUGAUGAGAAUAUGAUGGCCAACUUGUUGAUGUUCCUCACCGCUGCGUUCCUGAUUUCGUACGGAAGCGUUCAUUCAGCUGCUGCCAAGGAACGAAGGACGUCAAUGGCAGGAGAGUUGGCGUUUUGUAAGAAACACUUCAGAACAAAUCAGGCAACU